rnacentral:rRNA from 1 species
ACUCUUUGAGUAUUGGGUAGGGGAGCGUUCUGUAAGCGGUUGAAGGUGUGUGGUAACGCAUGCUGGACGUAUCAGAAGUGCGAAUGCUGACAUGAGUAACGAUAAAGGGGGUGAAAAACCUCCUCGCCGGAAGACCAAGGGUUCCUGUCCAACGUUAAUCGGGGCAGGGUAAGUCGACCCCUAAGGCGAGGCCGAAAGGCGUAGUCGAUGGGAAACGGGUUAAUAUUCCCGUACUUCUUACAAUUGCGAUGGGGGGACGGAGAAGGCUAGGUGGGCCUGGCGACGGUUGUCCAGGUUCAAGUGCGUAGGCUU